UACGUAGGGUGCGAGCGUUGUCCGGAAUUAUUGGGCGUAAAGAGCUUGUAGGCGGUUUGUCGCGUCUGCCGUGAAAAUCCGGGGCUCAACCCCGGACUUGCGGUGGGUACGGGCAGACUAGAGUGUGGUAGGGGAGACUGGAAUUCCUGGUGUAGCGGUGGAAUGCGCAGAUAUCAGGAGGAACACCAAUAGCGAAGGCAGCUCGCUGGGACGGUACUGACGCUAAGGCGCGAAAGCGUGGGGAGCGAACAGG
rnacentral:rRNA from 1 species